GAAACAUGGGUUCUCGUAGGAACUCCGAAGUUAAGAAUCUCCGAACCUAGUCAGUACCUAGAUGGGUGACCAUUUGCAAACAUCAGGUGCCGAU